CAGUAGGUAUACAGGUGUACAGGUUUAGCUGCAGUAGGUAUACAGGUGUACAGGUUUAGCUGCAGUAGGUAUACAGGUGUACAGGUGUAGCUGCUCUAGGUGUACAGGUUUAGCUGCAGUAGGUAUACAGGUGUACAGGUGUAGCUGCAGUAGGUAUACAGGUGUACAGGUGUAGCUGCUCUAGGUGUACAGGUUUAGCUGCAGUAGGUGUACAGGUGUAGCUGCAGUAGGUAUACAGGUGUACAGGUGUAGCUGCUCUAGGUGUACAGGUUUAGCUGCAGUAGGUAUACAGGUGUACAGGUGUAGCUGCUCUAGGUGUACAGGUUUAGCUGCAGUAGGUAUACAGGUAUACAGGUGUAGCUGCUCUAGGUGUACAGGUUUAGCUGCAGUAGGUAUACAGGUAUACAGGUGUAGCUGCUCUAGGUGUACAGGUUUAGCUGCAGUAGGUAUACAGGUGUACAGGUGUAGCUGCUCUAGGUGUACAGGUGUACCUGCUGAAGCUGCUGCUGCAGGCGGCCCCUCUGCUGGCCCUCCAGCUUCAGUGUGUACGGCUCUGGGCUGUGUGUGUGUGUGUUACACAGCGUGUGUGUCUGCAGACCGAGCUGCUGUCUCUUCCUGAUCAACGCCAGCUGCUGCUUCACCGUACGCCGCCCUGCGAUCGGUCCGUCCUCCGCCUCGUCAUCGCCCGGUCCUCUGUGAUGAAAGCAGAGCAGGUCAGCGGGCCAGGACGACACCCGAUCACACCUGUGUGUGUGUGUUACAUACGUGUUGUGCUGCUCCUCAGGUGUGUGUGUUUCAACAGUGAGAGUCUCCUCCUGAGGCUCCUCCUCUUCCUCGUGGCCUUCAUCUUCCACUUCCUGUCCUGCGAGGUCUUCUUUCAACUGAAACACAAGCAGUCCAGUUCAUAUGUGUGGUGGGUGGUGUAGAUGGAGCACUGCUGCUUCCUAGUUUGGUGCCAGCACUGACUGACAGAGCCAGGCCAGCUGUGUGUUUCCAGUGUUUAUGCUAAGCUACGCUAACAUCAGCCUGGGUAACAGACGUGUGUUUGUGUGUGUAAAGACUGCAGAGACUCACAGUUUGGAACAGCUCCUCCAUCAGCUCGUUCACCUCCUUCUCUGCAGGACACAGAAGAUAUUUAACACCAAACGUUUCAGGAUCCGAUCAUCAAAACAAAGAUUAUCUUACAGUGUGUGUGUGCGCACUGACUGGUGAUGCGGACAGCCUUGUCGUCACGGUAAUCCUCCUGGUCGGGUUCAUCGACGUCGGCCAGGAAGUUGUAUUCCGGAUCAUCUUCAUCGUCACACUCCUCUGGUAGAGGGACAGAGAACAACACGGCGUUAUGAAACGUAUUCCCCCCUCGCUGUGAGCCUCCAACGUUUCCCCGACACCCAAAGCAAAGGAGGUAUCAGUGCGGAUGACCUAAUAUUAUUAGGUCCUUCUGAGGACACACCUGGCCCUGACAGUGAGCCUGGAGAAUAACGACGGUCUUCCAGAGAGGACCCAGGUGUCAGGGAUAUGGAUGAAACGGUUUAACCACGGUAGAGUUCCCGAUGCUUAGUAUAACCUUUACAAAUGUAAAUUAUCAUUAUAUAACAGAGUUUAAUGAACGUGAUCAUUUUGGUCACCAUAAUCAUGAUGGGAAACCCAAACGGGUUCUUACUGGGCUCAGUACUGCACGUACUGACUUCAAAUACAAGUGGGGGAGAGCUUCUGAUGCUAUAGAAAAUUCUUUAAACAUAGCCUUACAUACCUUCAUCCUUCCUUAAACAUAAAGCAUUUAACAGCACACACACAAAAACGCCUUCAAGUUGAUGCGUAAACACAUUUCCACAGUAAACUCCUUUGAACAGCCUGUUAAUACACCCUCAAAAGCUUUAUUUGUACUAUAUUAUAUAUAUUAUACACAAUAUUAAUGAAGGCAGACAGAGCAGCAGGUCAUCGGUUGAUCCUACAGUGAAAUAAUGAACAAAACUCCUUCAUUUAAUUGUUAAUUUUAGAUCUGAAAAUGUCUGUUUUGGUGACGUAAACAUUGUUAACUUUGGCAGUUUGCUGCUUACUUUGGGGUUUUAUUUGGACUUGAACUACUUACAUUUACAGAAGAACUACAUACAUGUUGUAUGAGUUGUAAAACUUAUGACAUGGUACAUUUGGCAACAUUGUUCUUGAAACUUUGAUGACAGUAAGCCGUUUGAAUUGAACUGACAGAGAAAAUGAGUCACACUGUGUGACAGAGCUACACACACCUUCAUUUUCUAUCUCUGAGGUCAUUAGCCCUCUCAGCCAAUCAGUCCACUCCCUGUCCUCGUGGGUGGAGCUGGAGUCGUACAUGUCAGGUGUGAUGUCAGGAGCACGGAGCUCUGCCUCCAGACGGCCCAGCGGGAUGUCACGUAGGGGACGCUUGGACCGAGUCCGGUACGCCAUUAGACCCACCUCGUCCUGUGACUCGGACAGAGGCUGGAAGAGACCAAUAAUCAAUAAUCAAUAUAUCCACAUUGUUUAUUUAUUAAAGCUCUGCCUGCUGUCCUACAAGAAAGAACAGUGUAUGUUAAAUCUAUCUAAUACUGUGUAAGUCAUAGCAUACAAUGAUUUAUUGCUUGUCUGUGUUUAAUAAUAAAGAUCUUAAAAAAUAA